CUUCAGUACUCACCUUGUCAUUCUUAGUUAUCUCUUCUUUCCCCUUGUCUACACUCUCACACUUCUCACUGAUCUCUUCAACUAUCUCUUUCUGUAUACUUACCCUUGUAUCCACUUCCAAAGGAUAUAACUUCUGUACAGGUCUGUUAAUAAACGAUGUACGUCCUUUACUUACCACCUUCACCUUCGCUCCUCUCACUACCUUGUCCCUUCCUAAUACUAAACUUUCAAUUUUUCCUACCCUCCAACAUCCUCUUUUAAGAUUUUCAUCAAACACUAAUACGACAUCACCCACCUUUGCAUCUGAACUCUCAUUUCCUUUCCUAACUUUAUGAAAUUCCCUUAAAUUCGUUAAAUAUUCCUUUCGCCAUCUCCUCCAAAAGUGCUUCCUCAUUCUUGCCAAAUACCUAAAUCUUCUAUUUACCUCUCCAAUUUCGUCAUCACUUACCUGAUUGGUAAUUUCAUCUGGCAUUGAAGUAAGUCUACAACCAAAUAUCAGAUGCGAAGGUGUUAGCACAUCUGUCUCUACCUCCUCAUAUAAAUAUGUCAAUGGUCGAGAAUUUAGAGUACCUUCAACCUCGACCAACGUCGUCAACAGUUCCUCAAAACUUAGCUUAGCAUUCCCAAGCACCCUUCGCAAACAACCUUUCACCAGACCCACCAUUCUCUCGAAAAAUCCACCCCACCAUGGGGCCCUCUCCAAAUUAAAUCGCCAUUCUAAUCGAUUAUUCUCUAAAUAGGACUUCACUUCUUUACUAUUGUACAACGCCUUUACUGCCUUUUGUGCCGCCUUGAA